CUCACAGUUUCGCGAAACGCUUUGUCAUCAAUAUCAUACAUAUUUUCUCAUCGUGAAGUAUUCAUAUAAACACAAAUGUAUUAUCUAGCAUUUUCAUAAUCGUGCAUAAAAAUAACUAAAAAACAUUAAAAAAAGAAAAAGUGUUUGAUAAUUUAGUUUAAAAGUGAAUCGUUAUAAGCAUGCAUGAAAUUUUAAAGAUUGUCUAAUAUGGGCUUUAUGCGUGUAUGGUGAUUAUGACGUGCAUACUACUACCGCCUGCGCGCUGUAAAGAGAUAAACGCUAUGGCGAGAUCUCAUGUGACUCGAGAGAACGAAUGAACAUGGGUGAAUUUAAAACAGUCGUAAGCGUGCCGCGCAUACGUGCGUUCGAUGUCAGUUGGAAGAGAGAAAAAUUACUAUUAUUUUUAAAGGAAUGAUAAGAGAGAUAA